rnacentral:rRNA from 1 species
GAUGAACGCUGGCGGCGUGCCUAAUACAUGCAAGUCGAGCGAACAGACGAGGAGCUUGCUCCUCUGACGUUAGCGGCGGACGGGUGAGUAACACGUGGAUAACCUACCUAUAAGACUGGGAUAACUUCGGGAAACCGGAGCUAAUACCGGAUAAUAUAUUGAACCGCAUGGUUCAAUAGUGAAAGACGGUUUUGCUGUCACUUAUCGAUGGAUCCGCGCCGCAUUAGCUAGUUGGUAAGGUAACGGCUUACCAAGGCAACGAUGCGUAGCCGACCUGAGAGGGUGAUCGGCCACACUGGAACUGAGACACGGUCCAGACUCCUACGGGAGGCAGCAGUAGGGAAUCUUCCGCAAAGGGCGAAAGCCUGACGGAGCAACGCCGCGUGAGUGAUGAAGGUCUUCGGAUCGUAAAACUCUGCUAUUAGGGAAGAACAAAUGUGUAAGUAACUAUGCACGUCUUGACGGUACCUAAUCAGAAAGCCACGGCUAACUACGUG